ensembl:lncRNA
CAAUAGAUGAGUAUGUGCAUAUGAUUCUAAGAUUAGUUCCUGGAUACGUUUGCAGAUAACUGAUGUAUAUGCAAUUAAAAUGUUUGAAGAUGUGAAGUGCCAAGUUACUAAUAAACAAUGAUUAGUCAUGCAAAUAAAUGUAAGUAUUUAAAUUAGAGCAAUUUCAAUAUGACUCAUAUUGUAGAAAAGAACCUGUAUAAAAAUACAGAAUAGGCAAUUUGUUAGUGGGAACAACCUUUGAUUAGGGGAGUUGAGUUUUAAUUUUUUUUAGGGAGUAUGAAUACACAGCAAAGUAGCAAUGUAAGAGAAUAAUAAUCAAUAAAAUAAUAAUAAAGUUAAAAACUAAUAAUUAAUAAACUCUGUUUUUCAAAUAUGUUGAGAACUACAAACAAGAUACUUAUAUCUUCUCAUCUCUGCUUGAGCCACACUACAACUCAGAGUAUCUUGGGAAUGCUCAGAUAUGUACUACCUGAAACAUGGCAGCUUUGCUGGCUGGUUUGAGUCAUGACCUAUGGUGCCAUGGUAGUUUUGUGUUAAGAUUUACCACCACUUUUCUGCCAAGAUCUUUCUUGAAAAGACCUUCUAUGGACGAUCUGCCACUUUUCUGACUGUGAGUAACAGAAAGUUGUAGGAACACUUGACAUGAGACCUUCUGCUAUAUAGGAGAUAACUUGGUGAGAUUUGACGCUCAACAGUCACUUUUAUAUAUGUAUACCAUUAUGUGAAAGGUAAGAAUAAAUAAAGUGUUAGGACCAAGACUUUGUUCUGCUGCAAAGAGAGAGCUUUGGAGAGUUAGAGCUAGAUGUUUAAUGUUUUUGAAUAUGGAGGUAUCUUCUACUUCCCUUGGAGAGCGGAAUCAGGCACGUCUUCUGAGCAAUGAAGUGGAACAUCAGGAUAUUUUUAUUGAUAUGUGCGUGUUCAUCACCUUUGGUAAUAUAUCUGGGCAAUGCAAGUGAUGAAUAUUUGAUGGACUACAGGAAUGCAUUGAUGAAAUUUUGCCUUGUCUUUUUGUUUCUGGUGCCAGCAGUUUAAAGUGGAGUGUCCAAGAGUUCAACUAACCUUCAAUUAAAAAUCAAGAGAGGGAACGAUUUGCUUCCUGGUUUAUCAACACCAUAUAGUGCCUCAAUUCACUAUCUGCUAGUCAGAAUAUCUGCAGUCUACUUAAUUUAUCAAUAAAAUGUGAAGGAUCAAGUGAAUCUUCUAGUCUGGCUUCCUAGUUUUAGUGGAACUUGCUGAGCGAUAUGAGUGCAUUUACAUGUGUAUGUUCGUGCAUAUAUGUUUGUAUACCCGUAUAUUUCUAAUCCUGCUCAAAUUUAAACUACUUUUCAGUAGGAGCUCUCAGAGAUGAAAUUGCAGGACUUGUCAGCUCUUGCUACACCUCUUCUGAAGAGCAUAUAUUUGAAAAGUCAAGGCAUAGAUCUGCCAGUUGCCACAUUUUCCUGUCAGCACAGCAAGUCCCCUCAACACGCAAAGGAAGAAAAUCUGACUCAUGUCAAACUCUUGAUGCAAGUUACACAAGAUGCAACUUUAUGCCUGUAUGAGAGGUCCUGGCUCUGUUCCAGAUUGUAGAAACUGGAUUUGCAAUUGCCUUAUUUACAAGGUCUCUGGGAUGGGAUGAUGUCACCUUUUGUACCUGUCUGGUAUCUACCAUGAUGAGGCCUUGAUCCUGGCUGAGGGUGUUGGCUGUUUGAUGAAUGCUAAAUUGGGAAGCAGCUAUAGGAAACCUGAAUUUCUAACACACUCUGCAACACUUGAGCUAGAGCAAAUACAACUGAUACUUAUAAAAUCACUAAGGCAUUUGCCACUUGUCACUAUCUCUUAUACAGUCAUUGGUACAUCAGUUCUCUUCCAGUUCUUCC